rnacentral:rRNA from 2 species
UUGACCUCGGAUCAGGUAGGAAUACCCGGUGAACUUAA